rnacentral:lncRNA from 1 species
AGUGGAUGUUCUAAAACUAAAAGGAACUGGCCAUUAUUACCAAAUCUUACUAAGAUAAUCAAGCCCAGAUGAUUGUUUUUAAUGCAGUAAAUCAUGACUUGUGCUUUUAGGUUUAAGUUACAAUCAAAUUGUGUUUUAAUUUUUAACACACUAGUGCAACGGGGACUCCAGAAUGACAGAAGGGCUAUUUAACUACACGGUAUGUACCCAACACUCUGUCAGUGUUCCAGAUCCUCUUUAACUCAGCUUUCCUACCAUUGCAGCAAAGACGCAGAGAUUUUAAAAGCUGAAAACCGAAGGGCAAGUGGAAUCCAGUGAUUGUGUGUGUGUAAGGAACUUGCCGACCACGUCUUGCACAGCUGGGUGACUUGAAAUGCAUCAGAGUUACACGAAAUGUCUUGGUGCUUUCCUCAAGGACUAUGGCAGCAGCUUUAAAACUACUAACAAAAAUUACACAGGUCAUCUUAUCCACAGGGAUGUGGUGACCCACAACUGAUUGAAGUGAAACAAGAAGCAGGGAAGCCCCAAACAGGCAUAAUGAAAUCCUAAGACUAAAC